GACUGAUAGGAGUGAACAAAAAGCCUAUGGAUUUGGUGAAUCACAUUAGUGGGCACUAGAAAGCAUUCACCACAGUGAUGACACUCAAAAACCAGACUCCUAGGAAACUAAUCCAGGUAGAAAACACAGGAGACUGUGUCAAGAUGGUGGCAUAAGCAGACUCUGAACUCACCUCUUCCCAUGGACACAAUGAAUUUACAACUAGUCUUGGAACAAUUACCUCUAAGAGAGAACUGAAACCUGGAUAAAAAGAACCCCCACAACAAGGGAUGGUGGUGACUGGAGUUUAAGAGGCAGAAAUUCCUUUCUGGAGAGAAAAAAGCCACCUUCUAGCUGCAACACUUCACAGCUGGCCACCAGAAAUCUUAAGAAAAAAGAAAGCAAAGACACUGAGCAAGAAUAAAAAUUCAGACAGCCACCGUUGUUUCGGAUAAAUUGUAUGUUUUUACCCGAAGAUCCAGUAAUGGCAGAGUGAAGGUCAAAACAAAAAGGAACAGUUGCAGAGGUCCGAUGAAGCAAAUAGCAACUUCCUGAUGGGAGCUGCUCUAACUGUCUGGACCCAUGACUAAUUCCAGUGAGCACAAUUUCUCUGCUAAUCAGUAAUUUGAAGAAGGAAUAAAUGUGUGCCAAUAUUUAUAAGUGUAUCACUCAGUCCAUUCUGGCUGAAACAUGUUGUGCCUCAGUUACAAAUGGAAACAUAUUCCAAGGAGCAUGUGAAAAACAGCCUGUGAGAGCAAACUGAAAAUCAAAACAUAUCCGUAGGAUUAUUUAUCAAAAGAGAAAUGUUGGCAAUUGUAUAUGUAGAUAGUGAAUUAACCUGGGAGGGAUUUAAUUAUUCUAUAUUGUUUUUGUUUGUUCAAUACCCUGGGAGUUUAUUAAUAAUUGUGAGAGUUAUUAGAGAACGAUAUACUAUUAAUAGCAAGCAAUCUGUAACGUUACAUGUGUUACUUAUGUUAUGAUCAGGAAAUUGCUUCUCACAUGGAUAACAUCACAUUAAAUAAUCAUGACAAAUCUUUUACCAACACUCUUGUUUUGAAUAAUCUGAAAAAGAACAUCCCUUUGCAAUUAGCCUAAGUGGCCACUGGAUGUCAGUAUUAUGUUAUGCCUGUUGAUUAUUUACUCUGUUUUGGUUAGUAAUUUCCUGUAGGUAUUUCAUAAUUUACAACUCUAUCUUAAAGAAAAACUUCAAACAAAAAAGUCAUAUUAUAUUAAAAAUUAUUUAUGUUUAGGCAACCCAACAUUCAAGGUCCCCUUAUCUACCAAGAUUUUUUUUUUUUUAAUUCUCUGAUACUGAAUUUUAAAGAUUUAUU